rnacentral:rRNA from 1 species
AUGCUAUUUGAAGACCAUUCAUGUGAUUUAAAAGAGAAGAUGUCCAGAAUGUCUAAGGAGGUUGAAGAUGACGAUCAAAAGAUUGAUCCAUUAAGUGACUGCCAAGAUGCCAAUAAUGCUUGCCCCGUGCCAUUAGUAAUACCCUUGCUCUUUAUGAAAUCUUUCCUAUUAUAUAUUGAUGCAACAAUUAUCGUUGCAGUUUGUGAGAUCCUUAUUUACAUACAUCACUCAGCGGCUGGCCUGUACAGAGUUGCGUGGCAGGCAUAUGUGUUCCCAACCAUGUUAUCAAUUGUAGGCUUGGAAUGA